rnacentral:rRNA from 1 species
UACGUAGGCACCAAGCGUUGUUCGGAAUUACUGGGCGUAAAGCGAGUGUAGGCGGUUUGCCAAGUCGGUUGUGAAAUCUCCCGGCUUAACUGGGAGGGUGCGACUGAAACUGGCAGGCUGGAGUGCGGGAGAGGAGAGUGGAAUUCCUGGUGUAGCGGUGAAAUGCGUAGAUAUCAGGAGGAACACCGGUGGUGAAGACGGCUCUCUGGACCGCUACUGACGCUGAGACUCGAAAGCGUGGGGAGCAAACAGGAUUAGAAACCCCAGUAGUCC